GCGUGCGGGAAGAAGGCCUUCGGGUUGUAAACCGCUUUUGUCAGGGAAGAAAAGCUCUGGGCUAAUACCUCGGAGUGAUGACGGUACCUGAAGAAUAAGCACCGGCUAACUACGUGCCAGCAGCCGCGGUAAUACGUAGGGUGCGAGCGUUAAUCGGAAUUACUGGGCGUAAAGCGUGCGCAGGCGGUUGUGCAAGACAGAUGUGAAAUCCCCGGGCUUAACCUGGGAACUGCAUUUGUGACUGCAUGGCUUGAGUAUGGCAGAGGGGGAUGGAAUUCCGCGUGUAGCAGUGAAAUGCGU
rnacentral:rRNA from 1 species